AUUUAGAAUUGCAUCAUAUGUUUUAAGUGAUGUAUAUGAAAGCUAUUAGCUUAAUUGGUAGAGAAUUGUGCUAUCAUGCACAAGAUGUGGGUUCGAAUCCUACAUAGCCUAGAUAAAGUUUUUAAUUGAUUUGUUUUGGUAAUUGCUUAUGGGUAUUAUAUAAUUUGACUAUGAGAUGUUUAAUUAAUAUCUUCAUUUUAUCUAUAAAUAAACCUUUUAAAAGUAAAGCGAUCGUCUAAUGUUCCUUAUGAACAGUGAACGACCAUUAUACCCCCAAUUUACUUCUUGAAAAGACAUUACUGCCCUUGUUUUAGGUUGUUGCCUGCCUUUUUUCCUUCCUCAUUUUCUUCUCCUUUCCCUGCUUUUCCUCCCUUCCUUACCUUUUGCUAUUCUGAACUCCGUCCUCCUCAGCUGUCUUCUUCUUCAUUUGUUCAUUUCCUAUUCUUUCACUUUCUCUCCCCUCCAUUGAAGCGUACUUCGAGUUUUCCAUUGAAGCAUGCUCCGACCUUUCUCUCUCGUCCAUUGAAGCUGAGAUUUUACAGAUGUGAACAAUUUAAGGCACUGUAUGAAGUAUUUAAAGCAGACGCUUGUUACAUUCGGAUUUUUGGCUUUGCUUAAUCUGUUUGCUAAUGAUCCAGUACAGUUUUGGUGGCUCGUACUUGUAAUUGUAUGUACUCUUUGUUGCAACAGAGGCAGUGAAUUCUGAGAAUAGGCAAAAAAGCAAAGAUAGCGGUUGGGGAGGUCAUUAGCAGAUUUGAGAAGAAGGUUGUCUCUUUAAAGGUAUGAUCUUAAUUUCACAAAUUUGGAGCUUUAAACAACUAGUUCCUCUGUUUUCAGCAUUGUGUAAUUAGUUGCGAGGUUAAUUUAAAGAUGUUUACUUAUAUAAUGCUAAGAUUAAUCAUGGUAGCUCACAAAUGCGUUUAUUGAAGUCUAGAAUUGUCUCUAAUUAUUAAAUUAUGCAUUACAAAUGCUGCCCCAAAGUCUGAUUUCAAUAUAUUAGUAAUUAAUAACUCGAAUUAAAACCAGUCGGAUUGAGUCUCAUGAUUUACUGUGAAUUACUAUGUGUUUUGAGAUGCUCUAACUGUUUAUCUGAAUUUGAGCUAGCAAAGAUGGAAGAAGGUUUCAAUUCAGAUGCUAUAGAGGCAUCCAUGAAUACUAUUGAGUGCUCUCUGGUUCCUUCCUACAUGGACUAUCCUUAAUGCUUUGGUCUAUUGGAAGAUGGAUUUAUGAGAUGGUUCCCUUUGAGAUAUUGAGGUGGGAGAAACCACUAAUGAAACUGAAGGAAAGAAUAGCGGCAGGUGGCUCUAAAGUUGUAUUCUCUCCCUUAAUUGAAAAGUAUAUCCUGAAAAACCAUCAUCGUGUAAGCAGUUGAAAUGCAGGGCACUCAAGGAGCAAUAUUAUAAUUAAACGGGAAAUCAUACAUAUCAAGCUCCGCCAAGGUAGUAAUACCUUGCGAAAAGUCACUAACAAACACUUGCUCUACCCCAUUAGCCGGAACAUGCUAGCCAUUAAAUGCGCUACACAAUUACCCUGCCCUUUUAAUGUGACUACAAGAAAACAGAUCAAACUCCCUACCCAACCAGCAGACAUCUUCAAUGACCAAGUCAGCAGGCUUCCUACCCAACUUCUGCAAGCAAAUGGGUUUUUCAAUAUUACAGCAUCACAUUGUAACUCCACUCUCUCGCAGCCCAUAUUCGAGCCAGCAGCACCCCCAAACGUGUAGUUAAAGCUUCAGCCAACACCACUGAACUGAUACCUGGACAACGACACACCAUAGCAGCAACAAUCACCCCCCUGCUAUCACGCAGCACCGCCCCUAAACCAGCCACAUCGUCACUCAACAUAGCUACAUCAGUAUUUACUCUGUAGCAGCCAGCUGCCGGAGGACUCCACGCUCCUAAAGAAGCCACCUCUGUUCUCCUUAUGCCCCACAAAACAGCCCCAGCAUAUUUCUUAUAGUCUUCAACCGACCGAACAAAACCCAGAACUCCCACUUCACAAUUACUCCAAGGCUCAUCAAACACACAUGAGUUACGAAAAGACCAAGCAGCCCAAGAAAUAGCAAAAACACAAGUAGCUCUUCCUUUUUAAUCCUCUGAAUCCAUAGAAAUCUAUCAAAGAAAGAGAUAGAGGGAGCAUCAAUCAGAGUACCUGCAUACGGAGAAUGAUCCCAAAUGUGGCGAACCUUCUCACACUCAAAAAUAGCAUGGAUGAUUGUUUCAUUCUCUUCCUGACAUAACCCACACAACCCAUCGCUUCUACUGUGACGGUCACAUAAUCUUCCAAGGGUAGCAAGAGAGCCGGUACAGGCUCUCCACAGAAAAUGGCUUAAAUUCGGAAGACCCCUAUCCCCACCAUACAGAUUCGCCCAGCCAUUUGCGUUGACCCAAACGUCCAAGCCAAUAACCCGAUUUUGUUGUGUAUACACCAUCAGACGAAGGCCACCAAUAUCUCACAUCCUCUGUAUCCCUCAAACUAAAAGGAAUGCUGUGCACAAGGAUGAUGUCACUGUCAGUAAGGUGCUGCUGCAAUUUAUCAUUAUCCCAACAGUGAUGAGUACUAUCCAGAAGAUCAGCCACCAGAAGAUCUGGAGAGCUUUCCAGAGGAAUUGGUAAUAAAUAUGAAUGAUUUUCAUCAGAAAUUUGAGAUACUUUAUCAGAGAACAGAACAACUAGCUGAUUAGAUCGAGGCUAGAAUUGAGGCAUUCUCUAAACUAAUAAUUGACAGGACAAAGAAGAAAAAGGAAAAGGAUAGUGACGAUGAGUCUUCCAGUGAUGCCGAGUUUCAAUCAAAGCACUCUAAAAUCGAUUGAUAGGAAUAUCAAGCUCGAUGAUUUUACUGGCCUUGGAAUAUCAGAAGACUUCCUUGAGUGGGAAAGAAGAUGUCUGACUAUAAAGGGUUCAAUGAUGCUAAUAGGUUCAACAUAGCCUACAUCUGCCUCACAAAAAAUGCAGGUGCAUGGUUUGAAUCUCUCAAAGCCAGGCAUGCUAGGGCAGGAAAAUCUGGAAGCUUUACAGCCAAUACCGGAUAUGCUUCACGCAAAGAAUUCUUAGUCAAGGUUGGACCUACAGGAGAACUUUUAAGGAACAAUGUGUUGAUAUGGACCUUGAUAGGUGUUGAAGUGAAAGAUGAAUCAACACAGAUUAAUCUGACAGGCUCAUCAUCUGGAAGUUCUACUCAGCAAGAGAUAUGCAGUUCAUCUGAUAAGAUGAAGGGAACUCAGCAAUAAGAAUCUGUUCAGACAUAAUCCCAGGAUAGACAGCCUUAUGCUCAUAAUGUCUGAUCCAAGUGCAGGUUUCAGCCAAGAUCCUAAAACAAUAGAUGAUGCGAUGAUUUCUGAACAGGCUAGCUUAUGAAGAAAUAGAUAAAUAGUACAAUCUAAGUCAGUCAGAGAUUGAAACCAUCAAAGAUCUUGAACAAGCUGUUCAAAGCAAGCACUUCCUCAGUGGACUUUGACACUCUCGCACAACAAACCAAUGCUAACAACAAAGAACAAGCAACUACAGUUUCAUAGCCAGAGCCAGAACCAGCACCAGCACCAGCACCUGAUCAACAUGCUGCUGGAAAAAAGUUUCGAACAUCCCUAUUCCAAGACACUGAUGUUGAGAAAGAUUCUGAGAAGACAAAUUAAUCCACCAGCUUCUCUGAUGAACCAUAAAUCCUAUCACCUUGAACCAUAUAAAUAUGCAACACCUUUUGCUGCUGAAUAUAUUUUGUUGUUGAAUUGUGCACUGCCUGAUUGUUUUUCCAAUAAAUCAUAUCUUGGUAUCAGUCGGUAUCACAGAAAUUAGACCUAAAGGAAAUCAGUCUUUUUUUUUUUU